rnacentral:rRNA from 1 species
AGGAUGAACGCUGGCGGCGUGCUUAACACAUGCAAGUCGAACGGUGAAAGAGGAGCUUGCUCCUCUGGAUCAGUGGCGAACGGGUGAGUAACACGUGAGUAACCUGCCCUUGACUCUGGGAUAAGCGUUGGAAACGACGUCUAAUACCGGAUACGACCUCCGAAGGCAUCUUCUGGAGGUGGAAAGAAUUUCGGUCAAGGAUGGACUCGCGGCCUAUCAGCUAGUUGGUGAGGUAAUGGCCCACCAAGGCGACGACGGGUAGCCGGCCUGAGAGGGUGACCGGCCACACUGGGACUGAGACACGGCCCAGACUCCUACGGGAGGCAGCAGUGGGGAAUAUUGCACAAUGGGCGCAAGCCUGAUGCAGCAACGCCGCGUGAGGGACGACGGCCUUCGGGUUGUAACCUCUUUAGUAGGGAAGAAGCGAAGUGACGGUACCUGCAGAAAAGCACCGGCUAACUACGUGCCAGCAGCCGCGGU